UGCAAGUCGAACGGUAACAGGUCUUCGGAUGCUGACGAGUGGCGAACGGGUGAGUAAUACAUCGGAACGUGCCUAGUAGUGGGGGAUAACUACUCGAAAGAGUGGCUAAUACCGCAUGAGAUCUACGGAUGAAAGCAGGGGAUCGCAAGACCUUGUGCUACUAGAGCGGCCGAUGGCAGAUUAGGUAGUUGGUGGGAUAAAAGCUUACCAAGCCGACGAUCUGUAGCUGGUCUGAGAGGACGAUCAGCCACACUGGGACUGAGACACGGCCCAGACUCCUACGGGAGGCAGCAGUGGGGAAUUUUGGACAAUGGGCGCAAGCCUGAUCCAGCAAUGCCGCGUGCAGGAUGAAGGCCUUCGGGUUGUAAACUGCUUUUGUACGGAACGAAAAGCCCUGGGUUAAUACCCUGGGGUCAUGACGGUACCGUAAGAAUAAGCACCGGCUAACUACGUGCCAGCAGCCGCGGUAAUACGUAGGGUGCGAGCGUUAAUCGGAAUUACUGGGCGUAAAGCGUGCGCAGGCGGUUUUGUAAGACAGAGGUGAAAUCCCCGGGCUCAACCUGGGAACUGCCUUUGUGACUGCAAGGCUAGAGUACGGCAGAGGGGGAUGGAAUUCCGCGUGUAGCAGUGAAAUGCGUAGAUAUGCGGAGGAACACCGAUGGCGAAGGCAAUCCCCUGGGCCUGUA
rnacentral:rRNA from 1 species